GACGAACGCUGGCGGCGCGCCUAACACAUGCAAGUCGAACGGAGCUGAGAGAAGCUUGCUUUUCUUAGCUUAGUGGCGAACGGGUGAGUAACGCGUGAGUAACCUGCCCUGGAGUGGGGGACAACAGUUGGAAACGACUGCUAAUACCGCAUAAGCCCACGAUCCGGCAUCGGAUUGAGGGAAAAGGAUUUAUUCGCUUCAGGAUGGACUCGCGUCCAAUUAGCUAGUUGGUGAGGUAACGGCCCACCAAGGCGACGAUUGGUAGCCGGACUGAGAGGUUGAACGGCCACAUUGGGACUGAGACACGGCCCAGACUCCUACGGGAGGCAGCAGUGGGGGAUAUUGCACAAUGGGGGAAACCCUGAUGCAGCAACGCCGCGUGGAGGAAGAAGGUUUUCGGAUUGUAAACUCCUGUCGUUAGGGACGAUAAUGACGGUACCUAAUAAGAAAGCACCGGCUAACUACGUG
rnacentral:rRNA from 1 species